UACGGGGGGGGCAAGCGUUGUUCGGAAUUACUGGGCGUAAAGCGUGCGCAGGCGGUUCGUUAAGUCAGAUGUGAAAGCCCCGGGCUCAACCUGGGAACUGCAUUUGAAACUGGCUUACUAGAGUGCGGUAGAGGGGUGUGGAAUUCCCGGUGUAGAGGUGAAAUUCGUAGAUAUCGGGAGGAACACCAGUGGCGAAGGCGGCGACCUGGGCCAAUACUGACGCUGAGGUGCGAAAGCGUGGGGAGCAAACAGG
rnacentral:rRNA from 1 species